GGAGUUUGAAAUACCAGGAGCAGAGGACAAGGAAGCUGCCUCCGGGAUGACGCGACCCGCUGGCAUUAGCAGGCGAGAGAGAACUCAGGAUGUCUGCCAGUGACAUCCAAGAAUUCUGGAAAGCAGCCUCCAGAGGAAGGUCUCAUUGUCUGGGCUUUGGCCCUGGACCAAAUGAAAGGGGCUGCCCUGCCUCGCUCUGACUGGAUAUGCUGCAAGAAGGAAACCAGAAAGACACUGCAGUGGGCAUAUCCUGCUCUUGCCUCCCCUUCUUGAUCCCAGAGGGAUCCAGCCCACAAAACUGGAACAAUUAUUCUGCGCAGACAAGAGCAAGCCCUAUGCACCAUGGAGAUCAGCUUGCAUUGCGGGAAAUGCAGAGUGAUGCAUGGGCCGCAGAGAUAGCGGAUUCACUGCUAAAUGGACCAACCCCAGGAAGAGGCCAGAGUCUCCUGAACACACUUAGACGAAUGAUCCUUACUCUUUGAACCACCCCACAGAAGAAGUCAAUGGGACUCCUCAAGUAGAUAAGGAUUCCAGGGUGGAGCGUGUCCACAAGACCUGCAAAGCAACUUUGUCCAUUUGCUUGUCCGAUUUCAACACAGCUGGGUUCUACGUCCUGCUGAGAUGGGCAGAAGUUCCAUGUGACGACCCUACCCCAGGAUUAUGGUGUCUCAUGCAGGAGGCGAGAACUACAAAAACCCUGUACAACCGGCAGCUUUAUAACAACUGAAAAAGUAGCACUAGGAAGUGGAAGUCAUUCUGAGAUAUCUAAGAAGGGGUCCAUGCCCUGCAAAGGGAUUGCGAUUGUGAAAUCUCCCAUCGCUGGAGGUUUUUAAGAGCAGGUUAGACAAACACCUGUCAGGGAUGGUCUAGAUAAUACUUAGUCCUGCCGUGAGUGCAGGGGACUGGACUACAGCAGUGGUCUCCAAAGUGGGGUGCACGCAAGAGGAUUCUUUGGGGUGCACGGCAGGAGGAGCGCCGCCGGAGCAGUGCCGCUUUUUAUUUUUUUCCCCGUUCCGCAGUUCGGCCAGGAGUCCAAGCGCACUUUUUUUUUAAAUUUUUAUUUUGCUUCGACUAUUCGGCCAGGAGCAGUGGGCGUGUACUUAAAAGUUUUUUACUGAUUGGAUGCAUGAUCAAAAAAGUUUGGAGACCACUGGACUAAAGGACCUCUUGACGUCCCUUCCAGUCCUACGAUUUCAACAGCAAGACCAGUUUAUGUAUCUGAUUUUUGGAAACCCUGGUUGCGUAAGCAUAUCGCAAAAGCGGCACCAACCCAAAUCCAAGCACAGUGUAGACUCUACACCCAGCACCCCCAGGCUGCAACAUUAGCAAUGUGAAAUCAGUCAAAGCAAAGCUGCCCUUUGGAAUUUUUUUCGUCUGGAAGAGGAAAAUCAAGGUGUCUCCGCACUGUGCAUAGAACAAAGGCACUGAAAGUAAACGUAUGCUUUCUAACUGUGUCGCUUGGGACCAGCUGCAGUUGUCUAGCUCCUGAAUUCAGGACAGCUGUGCCAGGGCUAAGAUAGGUGGUUGUCUGCUAGCCUUUACAUCAGGGGUAGGCCACCUACCAAAGACCCAUCUAGUCCAGUAUCUCUCUCUCUGACAGCAGCCCAUACCAAAUCCUUCCAAGGAAGGUGCAAGAAACACCAGUAAGGACAAAUGAUUAUUCCUGGUUUGUAUGUCAAUCAAGACUAGAAUAGACCAGACCUCUGGGGAAAGUUUCCUGGAAUGAAACCUAGUCUACACAGAAAUUGCACCCUUUUAACUACAUCAGGUUCCAAAUAGAUGUAGUAAAAUUAGUUCAACCUGCUUGUGUGGAUACUACUAAAUGGGUUUAAGAUGCCCCAGGAUCAAUUAGCUCAAACUGGAGCCACUUAAUCUUUGUGCUUUUAGCUUAAGAUAAAAAUCAGCAUCUGUCCCUCAAGAGUAUCCACACUGUUCUGCACCGAAUCAGAAAUUGGAUUUAGAUCAAUCAGUACAAUGUGUGUAUGCAGACAUGCCCGAACACAGGAUAGUUAAAAGGGACUGGUAAUGAGAUAUACAGCCUUUCACUCCUACCUUGCCUGUUCAAAUGUAGGCACGGUUUGCACUGACCUCAAGUUGUCACCACCUGAUGGGGCGCUAAAGUGGCUUUCUCCAAUAUGAUUUUGAUGGCUCUCAGUCCAGUUCACAGCGGACAGGUGUCCACAUCGUAUGAGAAGUGACACUAAUUGGUGCCGCCGUGGGCACUCGGAAGCCAAGUUCUGAAAAAAAGGAUGGCGAAUUAACUCUCCCCUCUCUCUUUCUGAGAUUGUCCCCUUUGGGACAUAGGGAAAGUAUGUGGUGGAGCUGACUGCAUCACUGGCACUCAUGUUGUCCUUGAUUAUUGAAAAAUAAGGCACUUGCACAGGGAAAGCAAUAUUAGCUGUCACCCAAGCAAAAGGGUAGAUUAACCUCCAGAGCGCUUACAAAUAUUGUAAAAAUCAAAAUUCAUGUCACAGCUGCACCCAGACGCCCCAACUGAAAUCCAGGACCCCUUGUGCUGGGUGUUCUAAGAGAUGUAGCAAGAGACAGUCUGUGUUCAGAAGAGUUUACAUGAUGAAUAGACAAGACAAAUCAUUAUCCAUAUGUUGCAGGUGGGGAACUGAGGAUACGUCUACACUGGAGUGGGAGGCGUAAUUUCCAACUUGGGUAGAUGCACCUGAGUUAGCUCUGAUCUAGCUAACAUGCUAAAAUAUAGCAGUGUAGCCACGGUGGUGCAGAUGACAAGCCAGGGUAGAUGUCCUGAUACAAUCCCAUCCAAAACCCUAGGUGUGUACUUCAGGCACUCGCCAAUGGUGCCACAGCUCUAGUGCUAAUUUUUAGCACAUUAGCUAAAUGAGAGCUAGUACCGGAAAUGACAUCUCCAGUGUAAACAUACCACGAGGCAUCAAGAGGAUUUCCAUAAGCGUCACAUCAGGAGUUGGUUGCUGAGCCACAGACUGAACCCAAAUCUUACAAGUUCAAGUCCAGAGCCUUAUCCAUAAUACCAUCUUUAUCAGCUAGAUACUAUUCCGUAAUAAAUCUAUUGCCAAGCACCAUGGGAAAAAAACCCAGCUGAAAGAUACGCAGGGGCAAAUUCUGCUCUCAUUUACAAUGGUGCAAAUUGACUGAUGUCACUGGGGUUGCACUGGCAAGACAGAGCUGAAUUAGGCCUGCAGGCACCUCCAAAAAUAAUAGGAGGUGAGAAAGGCACAAUGGAAACACACGGCUUUUAAAGAGUAUACAUAAAAUAUUUAAAAAUAGAUAAAUUAUAUAUAAGUGUAUACAAUGCCCAGAGAUACCUCGAUUUAUAUGAUAGGGUUUCUGUAGAGCUGUUGAGCUCCAGGCAACAGAAAUGAGAAGUCAAGCUGAACUGCAAUACUGUAUCCCAGAGACGGUGACAUCUUAUAACAGAGAACAGAGCUACCCCCCCGGGGCACUGUGUAAAAAUUAUGACAUAGCAGCAAAACAACGUAAGUUAAUUUCACUGAAAUUAACAACAGUUUCCUUCCCUUGAGUGCAUGGUGAGGUAGAAUCCAAUUCAGAAGGUGAGGAAUGUUUAGAGAGUCGAGGCCUUUGGUUGACUCAAUCGUAGUCAACGUUUCUGAAUUUUUCUGUGUCUUUUAAAUAAAGGGACACAUCAAGA